rnacentral:rRNA from 1 species
AACGCGAAGAACCUUACCCAGACUUGACAUCCUGGUCGCAACUCUCAGAGAUGAGAGUGUUAUUUAGUUGGACCAGUGACAGGUGAUGCAUGGCCGUCGUCAGCUCGUGUCGUGAGAUGUCAGGUUAAGUCCUUUAACGAGCGCAACCCUCGUGAUUAGUUGGAUAUUUCUAGUCAGACUGCCUCGGCAACGGGGAGGAAGGAGGGGAUGACGCCAGGUCAGCAUGUCCCUUACGUCUGGGGCUACACACACGCUACAAUGGCCGGUACAACGGGAAGCCAAGUCGCAAGACGGAGCUAAACCCAUCAAAGCCGGUCUCAGUUCGGAUUGUAGGCUGAAACUCGCCUGCAUGAAGUCGGAAUCGCUAGUAACCGCGAGUCAGCACAUCGCGGUGAAUACGUUCCCGGGCCUUGUACACACCG